rnacentral:tRNA from 3 species
GCGGCUGUAGCUGAGAGGCUUAGCACUAGGUUUCCACCCUGGGGACGUCGGUUCGAUUCCGACCAGUCGCUCCA